UGGGGAAUUUUGGACAAUGGGCGCAAGCCUGAUCCAGCCAUGCCGCGUGCAGGAAGAAGGCCUUCGGGUUGUAAACUGCUUUUGUCAGGGAAGAAAUCCUUUGGGUUAAUACCUCGAAGGGAUGACGGUACCUGAAGAAUAAGCACCGGCUAACUACGUGCCAGCAGCCGCGGUAAUACGUAGGGUGCGAGCGUUAAUCGGAAUUACUGGGCGUAAAGCGUGCGCAGGCGGCUUUGCAAGACAGAUGUGAAAUCCCCGGGCUCAACCUGGGAACUGCAUUUGUGACUGCAAGGCUAGAGUGCGGCAGAGGGAGAUGGAAUUCCGCGUGUAGCAGUGAAAUGCGUAGAUACGCGGAGGAACACCGAUGGCGAAGGCAAUCUCCUGGGCCUGCACUGACGCUCAUGCACGAAAGCGUGGGGAGCAAACNGGAUUAAUACCCUGGUAGUCCACGCCCUAAANGAUGUCAACUGGUUGUUGGACGGCUUGCUGUUCAGUAACGAAGCUAACGCGUGAAGUUGACCGCCUGGGGAGUACGGCCGCAAGGUUGAAACUC
rnacentral:rRNA from 1 species